UGCCGACACACGCGUGACGCGCCCGUAGCUGUCAUUCACCGGCGCAGAAUGGAAAAGAGAUCUGUAAUCCUUGCGCAAGUGGUCGCCCUACAGCCGGCAUUACCGGCAGUUAGUAUGCGCCGCCCGGCGCGCCUCCCGCAGUCGCCUCACGUACCUAAUUGUGCUGUGCUGUCGACGCACCACGACACGACGGUUCGCACUCCGCGAGGGAAAUGUCUGCUCCUCCGACGAGCUCAUGACGUCGAUCACGACACUUACGACGAGUUACGACGAGGGCCACUCCGCGAGUUACGACGAAGGGCCUCGCCGCGAUUUAUUUAACGAAGGCGGCGACAAAUCUCGGAAAGGAAACUUUCAGAUAAAUAGCGCAAUAAAGAGGCAACGAUUUAUAUCGGCGGUUUAAACGUAUUAGAUCGCCAUUAAGUAUAUUUUAUUAAUGAUGCUUGUGAUUGCGGCGCAGCCACGAUACUUUAUGGGCCCCGGCGCUCCGAGUGACGCGAGCUAUUCAUCUGAUUAUUGCGCGCACUACAACCGAAUUAGAUGAAACUAAAAGUAAAUAUUAUAGGUUACGUGCAGAUUUAGGUCCUAUUUAGAUUUUUAAUUUAUUAAAGAGAAAGUAUAAAUCAAAAUCACACACAUGAAAACAUUAUCUUCUCCAACCCCAGAUCUAUUGUGUUACUGAAUAGGCGCGCAUGGAAGCCUCAUUUCUUUCGAGUUUUAAUAAUAGAACAACUGACGAUAUUGUUAGAUGAAAACUUUGAUUAAGCAGUGUGUGCUUUGCUUUCUAACUAAGAGGCUUUAGAUUGGCUGAACUCCGGUGCGACUUCUUGUCAAAACGCUAUUAUAAAUAAUCAUCAUACCUACCUACCUGAAUUUCUUCCGUUACGAUGCAAUGUAAAACGAACUUACCUAUCAGUUUUAAACUAAUAUAUAUUUUCUGUGAUUAAUCUAGAAGUUUACCAUCUCGGACCGCAUCACGCCACUCUAAUAAAUAAGUCAGACUAAAUUGCGGAGAACUCUUUCUCGACAUACAACAGACAGACAGACAUUCAUUACAGUAACGUCGUUGAAGUUAUAAAUACUUGGACGCGGCAAUCACGUGCACCUGCAAUAAUAUUGUAAAGCUGUAUGUACGCAGCAAUCAAAUUAAAACCAUUUGAAGUGUAAAUACCGAGGCGGUUUCCACGACUAAACGGAUUAUAGAUGCAUUCAGUUCGCGCGGGGGGCGGCGCGGGGGGCGGGGGGAGCUCCACAGACGCGUAUAAAUUGCCAACUACCCGACGGAGAUGGAUUGGCGAGCUAUGCGCCGCAGCCGGCUUCCCACUGCACCCACACGACACGAGAAAUACUAAAAACUGAAAUUCACACGAAGAGUCUGAUGUUUACGAUGGUUUGUGGAGAACAUUUUCAAACGUUCUGCAGAGAGUGUGAGAAUGCCGUUUUCCUUAGAAUCUUGUAUAUAGGUACAUCAGUGUACGUCCACGUUUAAUGUUGUUGAAGUAAAAAGCUUAUUCUUUUUACGUAGAUUUAACCUUAAUAAAGACCUCUUGAAGAA